CAGUUUUGGUAAUGGCGGUCUCGUGAACCCUGUUACCGGGUUAAGCAGUUCCCCAACUGACUUAACCUUCGAACAAACCGCCUCCCCAGGCGGUUUUUUCGU
rfam:Salmonella enterica subsp. enterica serovar Newport str. S09097 S_Newport_S09097_mira454_rep_c1836, whole genome shotgun sequence.